UUGAUCUUACGUUAAGUUGGUCAUUGUACUAAAUAAACAAGAUAACUUCCAGGCAGGGCAUGGGCUCAUGCCUGUGGUUCUAGUGUAGGCUAAGGUAGGGGAGUUGUACAGAAUUCAAGGCUGUCCUUGGCUAUGUAGUGAGUUACAGGUCAGUUAGGGGGACAGAAUGAGACUUUGUUUAAAAAAACAAACUACCACCAACAGCAUAAACAUUCAAAUAAUUUUGGGAAACAGAAAUGAAACAGCAUUUUUGUGUGUAAGUAGAGGUUAAUAGUACUGAAGGUAAGGGUGGGCACACAGUAGCGUUGGGUACAGACAACAUUACUGAACUGUGCACUUAAGCACUGCCAAGGCAGGAAAGCCUGUGGGUGGAUAUUUUACCAUAUUUAUUUUGAAGAAGUAUUGUCAAGAGCACAGCAGUUACCUAAGGAAACCAGGAAGAACGUACGGUCAGUCUUGUUUCUGAGGUCAUAGAAUGAGAGAGGACAGACAUGUUACCCUACAGACCUGGCUGAGGGUCACAGCUCACACUGUCUUAAGAACUAGGGAAAAGGUUCCUUCAGGAUUCCCUUUCUGAGUGUGGUGGCCUAGGCCUGUAAGCCCAGCACUCAGGAGGCAGAGGCAGGUGGAUCUCUGUGAGGUCAAAGUCUACAGAGUGAGUUCCAGAACAGCAGAAAAACUGUCUCAAAACAAAACAAAGCAAAA
rnacentral:lncRNA from 1 species